UGACAGUGAUCUCUUUAUCCCGAAGCUGAUCAUUUUCUGAUGAAAGUAAAACCUUUAUCGGAUCUGAUUGCUGAGUU